rnacentral:rRNA from 1 species
AGCGAACGCUGGCGGCAGGCCUAACACAUGCAAGUCGAACGAAGUCUUCGGACUUAGUGGCGGACGGGUGAGUAACACGUGGGAACGUACCUUUUGGUUCGGAACAACUCAGGGAAACUUGAGCUAAUACCGAAUGUGCCCUUAGGGGGAAAGAUUUAUCGCCAUUAGAGCGGCCCGCGUUAGAUUAGCUAGUUGGUGGGGUAAAGGCCCACCGAGGCUACGAUCUAUAGCUGGUCUGAGAGGAUGAUCAGCCACACUGGGACUGAGACACGGCCCAGACUCCUACGGGAGGCGGCAGUGGGGAAUCUUGCGCAAUGGGCGAAAGCCUGACGCAGCCAUGCCGCGUGAAUGAUGAAGGUCUUAGGAUUGUAAAAUUCUUUCAGUAGGGACGAUAAUGACGGUACCUACAGAAGAAGCCCCGGCUAACUUCGUGCCAGCCGCCGCCGUAA